GGUUCUAUAGCUCAGUGGCCAGAGCGCCGGGAAGACCGGGGGUCAUCGGUUCGAAUCCGAUUGGAACUA
rnacentral:tRNA from 1 species